rnacentral:sRNA from 1 species
UCUCAGGCUGAUCGAUCCUUGGGACAGAAACUUGCAAGCCGUCUGAACGUGAGGCCAAGCAUCUAGAGGCCAAUCUCCAU